GGGGUUGACUGGAUUUGACAGCGGGCAGGAAUGGUACGUAAGCACGCGGAGGCUCGUUGGCUACCUCCUUAAUCCGAGUGAACAAAAAAUUAAUUGGCGAAAACAACUACGCUCUCGCUGCUUAGUCGAAGCACAGUAGACUGAAGCUUUAUUCUCCUACCAGGUAGGAGAACGAGACAUCGCUCAAGAGUCGUUGUUCCGAGACUUACUUGACCCAGCGGUGCAGCAAAAAUCGGGAAUAGCCUGCGGAAAGCCUCGUGCCACAGGUGAAGCUUUAGAGGAUAAGGCAUCGGAUUGGUGGUCCAGGUCUUGCCGGUGCACGAAAAUGAAGUCUGGAAUAAGCGUGUAGAAAGCGUAUGGUUUCCCCGUUUGGACGCGGGUUCGACUCCCUCCAGCUCCAC
rnacentral:tmRNA from 1 species